UAGGCCUUAGCUUAAUUAAAGUAUUUGAGUUGCAUUCAGAAGAUGUAUAAGAGGUUAUACAGGUCUUA
rnacentral:tRNA from 1 species